rnacentral:rRNA from 1 species
AUACGUAGGGGGCGAGCGUUGUCCGGAAUGAUGGGGCGUAAAGGGCGCGUAGGCGGCCCGGUAAGUCUGGAGUGAAAGUCCUGUUUUUAAGAUGGGAAUUGCUUUGGAUACUGUCGGGCUUGAGUGCAGGAGAGGUAAGUGGAAUUCCCAGUGUAGCGGUGAAAUGCGUAGAGAUUGGGAGGAACACCAGUGGCGAAGGCGACUUACUGGACUGUAACUGACGCUGAGGCGCGAAAGUGUGGGGAGCAAACAGGAUUAGAUACCCUGGUAGUCCACACUGUAAACGAUGAAUGCUAGGUGUAGGGGGUAUCGACCCCUUCUGUGCCGCAGUCAACACAAUAAGCAUUCCGCCUGGGGAGUACGGCCGCAAGGUUGAAACUCAAAGGAAUUGACGGGG